rnacentral:rRNA from 1 species
CGUUACUCGCAGAAUAAGCACCGGCUAACUCUGUGCCAGCAGCCGCGGUAAUACAGAGGGUGCGAGCGUUAAUCGGAUUUACUGGGCGUAAAGCGUGCGUAGGCGGCUUAUUAAGUCGGAUGUGAAAUCCCCGAGCUUAACUUGGGAAUUGCAUUCGAUACUGGUGAGCUAGAGUAUGGGAGAGGAUGGUAGAAUUCCGGCUGUAGCGGUGAAAUGCGUAGAGAUCUGGAGGAAUACCGAUGGCGAAGGCAGCCAUCUGGCCUAAUACUGACGCUGAGGUACGAAAGCAUGGGGAGCAAACAGGAUUAGAUACCCUGGUAGUCCAUGCCGUAAACGAUGUCUACUAGCCGUUGGGGCCUUUGAGGCUUUAGUGGCGCAGCUAACGCGAUAAGUAGACCGCCUGGGGAGUACGGUCGCAAGACUAAAACUCAAAUGAAUUGACGGGGGCCCGCACAAGCGGUGGAGCAUGUGGUUUAAUUCGAUGCAACGCGAAGAACCUUACCUGGCCUUGACAUACUAGAAACUUUCCAGAGAUGGAUUGGUGCCUUCGGGAAUCUAGAUACAGGUGCUGCAUGGCUGUCGUCAGCAAAAAAAAAGAGAUGUUGGGUUAAGUCCCGCAACGAGCGCAACCCUUUUCCUUACUUGCCAGCAUUUCGGAUGGGAACUUUAAGGAUACUGCCAGUGACAAACUGGAGGAAGGCGGGGACGACGUCAAGUCAUCAUGGCCCUUACGGCCAGGGCUACACACGUGCUACAAUGGUCGGUACAAAGGGUUGCUACACAGCGAUGUGAUGCUAAUCUCAAAAAGCCGAUCGUAGUCCGGAUUGGAGUCUGCAACUCGACUCCAUGAAGUCGGAAUCGCUAGUAAUCGCGGAUCAGAAUGCCGCGGUGAAUACGUUCCCGGGCGUUGUACACACCGCCCGUCACACCAUGGGAGUUUGUUGCUCCUUAAGUAGCUAGCCUAACUGCAAAGAGGGCGGUUACCACGGUGUGGCCGAUGACUGGGGUUCAGGCAUCCCCCUAUUU